rnacentral:rRNA from 1 species
ACCUACGGGGGGCAGCAGUGGGGAAUAUUGCACAAUGGGCGAAAGCCUGAUGCAGCAACGCCGCGUGAGCGAUGAAGGCCUUCGGGUCGUAAACCUCUUUUGCCGGGGAGCAAGGGCGGGGACGUGUCCCGGCCCGGAGAGUACCCGGAGAAAAAGCAUCGGCUAACUCCGUGCCAGCAGCCGCGGUAAUACGGAGGAUGCGAGCGUUAUCCGGAUUUAUUGGGUUUAAAGGGUGCGUAGGCGGGCUUUUAAGUCAGCGGUAAAAAUUCGGGGGUCAACCCCGGCCGGCCGUUGAAACUGGGGGG